CCAAUAGCGUAUAUUAAAGUUGUUGCAGUUAAAAAGCUCGUAGUUGAAUUUCGGGGUCAGCAGGUCGGUCGUGCCAAUGGUAUGCACUGGCCUUGCUGAUUCCUCCCUCUUGAUGAGCCGUAAUGCCAUUAAUUUGGUGUUGCGGGGAAUCAGGACUGUUACUUUGAAAAAAUUAGAGUGUUUAAAGCAGGCAAGCGCUUGAAUACAUUAGCAUGGAAUAAUGAAAUAGGACGUUUGAUCCUAUUUUGUUGGUUUCUAGGAUUGACGUAAUGAUUAAUAGGGAUAGUUGGGGGCAUUAGUAUUCAAUUGUCAGAGGUGAAAUUCUUGGAUUUAUUGAAGACUAACUACUGCGAAAGCAUUUGCCAAGGAUGUUUUCAUUAAUCAAGAACGAAAGUUAGGGGAUCGAAGACGAUCAGAUACCGUCGUAGUCUUAACCAUAAACUAUGCCGACUAGGGAUCGGAUGAUGUUAAUUUUUUAAUGACUCAUUCGGCGCCUUACG
rnacentral:rRNA from 1 species